rnacentral:rRNA from 1 species
AACGAACGCUGGCGGCAGGCCUAACACAUGCAAGUCGAGCGAAGCCUUCGGGCUUAGCGGCGGACGGGUGAGUAAUGCGUGGGAACGUGCCCUUUGGUACGGAAUAGCCCCGGGAAACUGGGAGUAAUACCGUAUGUGGUCGAGAGACGAAAGAUUUAUCGCCAAAGGAUCGGCCCGCGUUGGAUUAGGUAGUUGGUGGGGUAAUGGCCUACCAAGCCGACGAUCCAUAGCUGGUUUGAGAGGAUGAUCAGCCACACUGGGACUGAGACACGGCCCAGACUCCUACGGGAGGCAGCAGUGGGGAAUCUUAGACAAUGGGGGAAACCCUGAUCUAGCCAUGCUGCGUGAUCGAUGAAGGCCUUAGGGUUGUAAAGAUCUUUCAGUGGGGAAGAUAAUGACUGUACCCACAGAAGAAGCCCCGGCUAACUCCGUGCCAGCCGCCGCCGUAAUAC